UUUAUGGAGAGUUUGAUCCUGGCUCAGGAUGAACGCUGGCGGCGUGCCUAAUACAUGCAAGUCGAGCGAACAGAUAAGGAGCUUGCUCCUUUGACGUUAGCGGCGGACGGGUGAGUAACACGUGGGUAACCUACCUAUAAGACUGGAAUAACUCCGGGAAACCGGGGCUAAUGCCGGAUAACAUGUUGAACCGCAUGGUUCUACAGUGAAAGACGGUCUUGCUGUCACUUAUAGAUGGACCCGCGCCGUAUUAGCUAGUUGGUGGGGUAACGGCCUACCAAGGCGACGAUACGUAGCCGACCUGAGAGGGUGAUCGGCCACACUGGAACUGAGACACGGUCCAGACUCCUACGGGAGGCAGCAGUAGGGAAUCUUCCGCAAUGGGCGAAAGCCUGACGGAGCAACGCCGCGUGAGUGAUGAAGGUCUUCGGAUCGUAAAGCUCUGUUGUUAGGGAAGAACAAAUGUGUAAGUAACUGUGCACAUCUUGACGGUACCUAACCAGAAAGCCACGGCUAACUACGUGCCAGCAGCCGCGGUAAUACGUAGGUGGCAAGCGUUAUCCGGAAUUAUUGGGCGUAAAGCGCGCGUAGGCGGUUUUUUAAGUCUGAUGUGAAAGCCCACGGCUCAACCGUGGAGGGUCAUUGGAAACUGGAAAACUUGAGUGCAGAAGAGGAAAGUGGAAUUCCAUGUGUAGCGGUGAAAUGCGCAGAGAUAUGGAGGAACACCAGUGGCGAAGGCGGCUUUCUGGUCUGCAACUGACGCUGAUGUGCGAAAGCGUGGGGAUCAAACAGGAUUAGAUACCCUGGUAGUCCACGCCGUAAACGAUGAGUGCUAAGUGUUAGG
rnacentral:rRNA from 1 species